UACGUAGGGUGCGAGCGUUAAUCGGAAUUACUGGGCGUAAAGCGUGCGCAGGCGGCCGAGCAAGUCGAGUGUGAAAGCCCCGAGCUUAACUUGGGAACUGCGCUCGAAACUACUUGGCUAGAGUGUGGCAGAGGGAGGUGGAAUUCCACGUGUAGCGGUGAAAUGCGUAGAGAUGUGGAGGAACACCGAUGGCGAAGGCAGCCUCCUGGGCCAACACUGACGCUCAUGCACGAAAGCGUGGGGAGCAAACAGG
rnacentral:rRNA from 1 species